CGCCCAACCAGUGUACAUGUGUUUUGUGGACUUGGAGAAGACGUUCGACCGUGUCCCCAGGGGGGCCUUAUGGAGGGUUCUCCGGGAGUACGGGGUACCGGGCCCUUUGAUUCAGGCUGUCAGGUCCCUGUAUGACCGGUGUCAGAAUCUGGUCCGCAUUGCUGGCACCAAGUCAGGCUCGUUUCCGGUGAGAGUUGGACUAUGCCAAGGCUGCCCUAUACCCCCGCGACCCGACCCCGGAUAAGCGGCAGAAAAUGGAUAUAUGGAUUGAUGGAUAAAAGAUGAAAAUCCAAUAUUAUUUUCAUUAUGCAAUAGUUACCUAAGAGUCAAUGACCAGCAAUAACUGACUGAACAGCACUCUGGUUCAACACAUUCGAAUGUAAAAUAUAAAAAAAUUGAAGAAAAUAGGGAGAAAUUUCAAUUUUCUUUGAAAAUGUGAAACUAGCACAGGUUCAGGUUUUUUCACAAAGGUUCCUUUCAGAUUAUUUUUUCGUUCUGUGAUCUACACACAGAACGUUUACACCCUACUAUCAACUGAAUAGGGUGUGAAGUCACUUCACCAUAUCUGGUCUGGAAAAUGUGGGUGCUUUUCCAAUAGCAAGUCGGACACUAACACUUAGUGUGUGGUUUCGUUCGACCCCAGAACCAUUAUAAGGUCUAUUCCUCACUAUUGUGGGCGAACCAUGAGCAUGCAACAGCUGAGCUCAACUCUUUGCUGAUGUUAGCACCCACACUCAGCAAUGGAGAAUCUCGAGGUUGUGGUUCUGAUGCACUGAAAUAAACCCAGGUUUCAUUUUGUCUUUUAGAAAUUCAUUGUUGACGCAAACAUAAUGAUGAAGACUCAGAUCAGCUGAUUAUUUCACUAAGCAUAGAAUUAUAAUUAUAUUCUGCCGCUUUAUUUUUGUGCAACCUUCUGAAUUUGGGUAGUGAAGUUAAAAGAUGUAAGCCAAUAGCUAUACAUGAAAUGUAUUUAAUUUUUUAAUCCAGAGGGAAAGUAAAAUUCACAUCUCAAGGUAGUAUUAUGUAGUUCCGGUGUUUCACACUGCCAGAGCAAAACCGCAGCUCCGAUAGAAAAUGACCACAGCUGCAACAUUUCUCUUUUUUUUAUUUUUGCCCAUUCUUCAGAGAAACAAGCAGCUUGCUGCGCUGCUAAACCAUGGUCAUUCUGCUGCAAAAUUUAACACAUGUUCCUGGCGCUGCUCAUAGUAAUACUCCUAAUUACACUCCUCCGUACUGAGCAGCUCUCUGAUAGCAGACAGUCUGCGUUCCACAGCUAAACUAUAAUAUCGUUUAAAGUUUGCCAUGAGGUAAUCAUGAGCCAAUUCACGAAUAGCUUCAGCUGUCAAUCAAAUCGCCUCGGUGCAGCUCUUGGCAUGGUUCUGCUAGUACUACCUCUGAAGUAGGUACAAAAAUCAGAGAAAAGCCAGGCAGAGCUGCGCUGGAUCUGCUAAUGGAAAUAAAUCUGAUCAGGGUGGACUGGGACUAAUAUCUGCAAGAGGCAGUCUAGAGGAAAAGUGCCUUCAGUUGCUCAGCAACUAAGGUCUGAGCAACUGUUGAUAAAAGUGCACAACUUUGCUUACAUUUAAAGCACAGCAAUAAGGACAGAGAGCUCACAGUUCAGAUCAACGCUGCAGUUUUCAAGUCACCAAUUGAUCUCAGUGGAUUACAUAAAAGUAUGCAGUAAAGUUGUAUGCUUUUACAACAUUUAAUGAGGAGCUAUAUUGUUGAAUAGCUAUUAUCUGAAAUGGGCUUUUGACCAGAAAGAAAAAAAAAUCCUGCUGAUCUUCUGUGCAACAGUGCUUCAGAGCAAGAGCAAAUUACUUAAUAAUUAUUGGUUCAGCACUUCAACCUCAUAUGGAGGUGUAAGUUUUUGUACUGUUUUCAAGGGAGCUGUAAGACAGAAUAUAAAAAUACAAUAAGCUAAUACAAAAAACAGUUCAGCUGAGAUGAAAACACACUGCAUCAUCAUCACCAUCAUCAUAACUGAGGAUUUGAGACAGUGUAAUUCAGAGCAGCCAACCAACAAGCUGAGUUGUACCUGUGAUUUGCUGGCAUGAUGGACACCACAGGACACCCACAUCGAUCCACGCAGUGUUCUCAUAAUACGGUGAUUCUUCUUGUGUCUCAGUUUAUCUGCUCGCCUCCUCACCCAUCUAGGUGUAACAGUCUAUGUGUCUCUAUCUGAGCAUGUGUUUCAGAGAGAGAAAGUGGAUAGGUGUGUGUGCAGUCUACUGGAAGGCGAGUAGGAACAUGAGGACUACAUUAAUGAUAA